rnacentral:rRNA from 1 species
AUUGAACGCUGGAGGCAGGCCUAACACAUGCAAGUCGAACGAGUGGCGGACGGGUGAGUAAUGUCUGGGAAACUGCCUGAUGGAGGGGUAUCACUACUGGAAACGGUAGCUAAUACCGCAUACCAUCGGAUGUGCCCCGAUGGGAUUAGCUAGUAGGUGGGGUAAAGGCUCACCUAGGCGACGAUCCCUCGCUGGUCUGCGAGGAUGACCAGCAACACUGGAACUGAGACACGGUCCAGACCCCUACGGGAGGCAGCAGUGGGGAAGAUUGCACAAUGGGCGCAAGCCGGAUGCAGCCAUGCCGGGGGUAUGAAGAAGGCCUUCGGGUUGUAAAGUACUUUCAGCUGGGAGGCGGUACCCACAGAAGAAGCACCGGCUAACUCCGUGCCAGCAGCCGCGGUAAUAC